AGAACGAACGCUGGCGGCAUGCUUAACGCAUGCAAGUCGAACGAGACCUUCGGGUCUAGUGGCGCACGGGUGCGUAACGCGUGGGAAUCUGCCCUUAGGUACGGAAUAACUCAGAGAAAUUUGUGCUAAUACCGUAUGAUGUCGAAAGACCAAAGAUUUAUCGCCUAAGGAUGAGCCCGCGUAAGAUUAGCUUGUUGGUGAGGUAAAAGCUCACCAAGGCGACGAUCUUUAGCUGGUCUGAGAGGAUGAUCAGCCACACUGGGACUGAGACAUGGCCCAGACUCCUACGGGAGGCAGCAGUGGGGAAUAUUGGACAAGUGGGACGAAAGCCUGAUCCAGCAAUGCCGCGUAGAGUGAUGAAGGCCUUAGGGUUGUAAGCUUCUUUACCGAGGUAUGUAUAAUGAC
rnacentral:rRNA from 1 species